rnacentral:rRNA from 1 species
UACGUAGGGUGCAAGCGUUGUCCGGAAUUAUUGGGCGUAAAGAGCUCGUAGGCGGUCUGUCACGUCGGCUGUGAAAACCCGGGGCUCAACCCCGAGUCAGCCAGGGAUACUGGAGGGCUGGAGACAGGUAGAGGCAAGCGGAAUUCCGGGUGUAGCGGUGGAAUGCGUAGAUAUCAGGAGGAACACCGGUGGCGAAGGCGGGUCUCUGGGCCGAUACUGACGCUGAGGAGCGAAAGCAUGGGUAGCGAACAGG